GCUCACUUCGACAUGCACAUACAAAAACCAGAAGGACACAGAGAAGAUGAGUGUGGCCCUUGUAUAAAGAUGACACAAAUUCAUACAGCAUUCUACAUAUAUUU